rnacentral:rRNA from 1 species
UACGUAGGGGGCAAGCGUUGUCCGGAUUUAUUGGGCGUAAAGAGCGUGUAGGCGGCUUUACAGGUCCGUUGUGAAAACUUGAGGCUCAACCUCCAGACGUCGACGGAAACCGCGUGGCUAGAGUCCGGAAGAGGAGAGUGGAAUUCCUGGUGUAGCGGUGAAAUGCGCAGAUAUCAGGAAGAACACCAAUGGCGAAGGCAGCUCUCUGGGACGGUACUGACGCUGAGACGCGAAAGCGUGGGGAGCGAACAGG